UACGUAGGUGGCAAGCGUUGUUCGGAAUUACUGGGCGUAAAGCGUGCGCAGGCGGUUGUGCAAGACAGAUGUGAAAUCCCCGGGCUUAACCUGGGAACUGCAUUUGUGACUGCACAGCUAGAGUGUGUCAGAGGGGGGUAGAAUUCCACGUGUAGCAGUGAAAUGCGUAGAUAUGUGGAGGAAUACCGAUGGCGAAGGCAGCCCCCUGGGCCAACACUGACGCUCAUGCACGAAAGCGUGGGGAGCAAACAGG
rnacentral:rRNA from 1 species